rnacentral:tRNA from 1 species
GGAGGGAUAGCUCACGGGCAGAGUGCAUGCUUAGCAUGCAUGAGGUCUUGGGUUCAAUCCCCAGUACUUCCA